GCUAGAAGCCGACUGCCCUUUUGGACUGUGAGGUAAUAGAGGGGAAGAGGAAAAGACCCCAGGGUGGAGAAGUCAUCCCGGGGACCCUCCCUGGGAAACGUGCUAGGGCUGCUGCCACAAAGUCCCACAGAGAAGAAAGACAGAGUCUUAAGUGCCUGAAAUGACCAGGCUGUGGGCAAUCAUCAAUGAAAACCCGAGUCCCCGUCGAUGGAGCGAGUUGAAUGUCACGUACGCGCACGGCGCUGUGCAGGAAUCUAGUAAAUCUAAGCGACUGCAAUGAAAUGAGAGAUGGAGUUGGGGUAAUUAGAAAAUAAAAUUAAACAAAGCACCGAAAUGAACUCCACUGUCUGUCUCAAUCAACUGAUUUCUGAUUGCAUUACGACCAGUUAACCGAAUUAGUUGAGAGAUGGAGAAAUGUCUGCAACAUCAUCCCAUUUACGCUGGUGGCCAGAGUUCCAGGAGCCCACCCAGGAUGCCUACACGACAUUCAGUUGCCACGUCUCCUGAGGCUCCCGUUGGCUGCGACCUUGCAAACACCGAGAAGAACUAAGAUGCAAUACAGAACACACCCCUGCUGGGAUCCGUCGCACGUUUCCUCCUCCUGAGACCGAGGUUGGGUGCUUCGGACCAAGGGAACCAAAGCCAACUGCCAUGUUCCUCACAUAGCAUCUCUGGCCGACACCGCCCUCACGGUCCAUGGGCUCACCGGGUCUCCCCUGGCCAGUAUUUAGCAAAUUCUUUGGAAUAUUGAGAAAAUUUUCACUCCCUCAUAAAAUGAAAGACAGAAAGCCAACACACACAGAAAUGUCUCAGCCUUUACACAGUGUGACAUGAUUCUUCAUGUCCUGUAGCUGCCUUUUUACCUUUGAUAAGAAUAUUGUUCACCUGUGAGUUUCUGAACAUUUCACCUGCAAAAAAGGAAGGAAAUUCUACAGUUCAUCUUUUUUAAUGAAAAAAGAAAGUCCUGGGCAGCCCAGGUGGCUCAGCGGUUUAGUGUUGCCUUCAGCCUGGGCCAUGAUCCUGGAGACCUGGGAUCA